rnacentral:rRNA from 1 species
AGCGGGAAGAGCUCAAAUUUAUAAUCUGGCACCUUCGGUGUCCGAGUUGUAAUCUCUAGAAAUGUUUUCCGCGUUGGACCGCACACAAGUCUGUUGGAAUACAGCGGCAUAGUGGUGAGACCCCCGUAUAUGGUGCGGACGCCCAGCGCUUUGUGAUACAUUUUCGAAGAGUCGAGUUGUUUGGGAAUGCAGCUCAAAUUGGGUGGUAAAUUCCAUCUAAAGCUAAAUAUUGGCGAGAGACCGAUAGCGAACAAGUACCGUGAGGGAAAGAUGAAAAGCACUUUGGAAAGAGAGUUAACAGUACGUGAAAUUGUUGGAAGGGAAACGCUUGAAGUCAGACUUGCUUGCCGAGCAAUCGGUUUGCAGGCCAGCAUCAGUUUUCCGGGAUGGAUAAUGGUAGAGAGAAGGUAGCAGUUUCGGCUGUGUUAUAGCUCUCUGCUGGAUACAUCUUGGGGGACUGAGGAACGCAGUGUGCCUUUUGGCGGGGGUUUCGACCUCUUCACACUUAGGAUGCUGGUGGAAUGGCUUUAAACGACCCGUCUUG